rnacentral:rRNA from 1 species
UCCCCGGGCUCAACCUGGGAACUGCAUUCGAAACUGGCAGGCUUGAGUCUUGUAGAGGGGGGUAGAAUUCCAGGUGUAGCGGUGAAAUGCGUAGAGAUCUGGAGGAAUACCGGUGGCGAAGGCGGCCCCCUGGACAAAGACUGACGCUCAGGUGCGAAAGCGUGGGGAGCAAACAGGAUUAGAUACCCUGGUAGUCCACGCCGUAAACGAUGUCUACUUGGAGGUUGUGCCCUUGAGGCGUGGCUUCCGGAGCUAACGCGUUAAGUAGACCGCCUGGGGAGUACGGCCGCAAGGUUAAAACUCAAAUGAAUUGACGGGGGCCCGCACAAGCGGUGGAGCAUGUGGUUUAAUUCGAUGCAACGCGAAGAACCUUACCUGGUCUUGACAUCCACAGAACUUUCCAGAGAUGGACUGGUGCCUUCGGGAACUGUGAGACAGGUGCUGCAUGGCUGUCGUCAGCUCGUGUUGUGAAAUGUUGGGUUAAGUCCCGCAACGAGCGCAACCCUUAUCCUUUGUUGCCAGCGGUCCGGCCGGGAACUCAAAGGAGACUGCCAGUGAUAAACUGGAGGAAGGUGGGGAUGACGUCAAGUCAUCAUGGCCCUUACGACCAGGGCUACACACGUGCUACAAUGGCGCAUACAAAGAGAAGCGACCUCGCGAGAGCAAGCGGACCUCAUAAAGUGCGUCGUAGUCCGGAUUGGAGUCUGCAACUCGACUCCAUGAAGUCGGAAUCGCUAGUAAUCGUGGAUCAGAAUGCCACGGUGAAUACGUUCCCGGGCCUUGUACACACCGCCCGUCACACCAUGGGAGUGGGUUGCAAAAGAAGUAGGUAGCUUAACCUUCGGGAGGGCGCUUACCACUUUGUGAUUCAUGACUGGGGUGAAGUCGUAACAAGGUAACCGUAGGGGAACCUGCGGUUGGAUCACCUCCUUACCUUAAAGAAGC